GAUGAAGAACGUAGCGAAAUGCGAUACGUAAUGUGAAUUGCAGAAUUCAGUGAAUCAUCGAGUCUUUGAACGCACAUUGCGCCCCCUGGUAUUCCGGGGGGCAUGCCUGUCCGAGCGUCAUUGCUGCCCUCAAGCCCGGCUUGUGUGUUGGGUCUCGUCCCCCUUCCCGGGGGGACGGGCCCGAAAGGCAGCGGCGGCACCGUGUCCGGUCCUCGAGCGUAUGGGGCUUUGUCACCCGCUCUGUAGGCCCGGCCAGCGCUUGCCGAUCAACCAAAACUUUUUUCCAGGUUGACCUCGGAUCAGGUAGGGAUACCCGCUGAAGUUAAGCAUAUCAAUAAGCGGAGGA
rnacentral:misc_RNA from 1 species